GACGAACGCUGGCGGCGUGCCUAAUACAUGCAAGUCGAACGGUCUUUUCUAUGGAAGCUUGCUUCCGCUGAGAAGAUAGUGGCGAACGGGUGAGUAACACGUGGGUAACCUGCCCAUAAGAGGGGGAUAACAUCCGGAAACGGGUGCUAAUACCGCAUAGUUUUCUUGAUCGCAUGAUUGAGAAAGGAAAGACGGCCUUUGUGCUGUCGCUUAUGGAUGGACCCGCGGCGUAUUAGUUAGUUGGUGAGGUAACGGCUCACCAAGACGAUGAUGAGUAGCCGACCUGAGAGGGUGAUCGGCCAAAUUGGGACUGAGACACGGCCCAAACUCCUACGGGAGGCAGCAGUAGGGAAUCUUCCGCAAUGGACGAAAGUCUGACGGAGCAACGCCGCGUGAGUGAAGAAGGUUUUCGGAUCGUAAAACUCUGUUGUCAGAGAAGAACAAGUCGGAGAGUAACUGCUCCGGCCCUGACGGUAUCUGACCAGAAAGCCACGGCUAACUACGUGCCAGCCGCCGCAGUAAAAC
rnacentral:rRNA from 1 species